rnacentral:tRNA from 1 species
GGGGAUAUAGCUUAGUGGUACAGCAUCUGCCUGGCAAGAAUGAGGUUCUGAGUUCAAUUCCUGGUAUCUACA